UCCCAACGAUAUGAAAUCCCAAUAGCGUAACCGUGACCUCCAUGAGCCAACUCUUUCUCUUCCUUCUUUUUGGAGAUUUUGCACAGAGAAGAUAGCCCCAACUUCUUUUGAAGGAGGAUCCGAGUGAUUGGAGGGAAGAAAAAUGCUUGGGUUUGUCGGCAACGACAGAAUCGUCCUCAGAGAAGAAGACCACUGAAAGAUUCAUGUUCCUAUUAGUGUUGUUAUAGGUGGACUUUGCUUUCGCCAAUAAAUCCAUCUUCGUCUCUGCUUGGCUCUGUGGUCGUCCAAAAUGCUGCUGCUGCGAAGCUUUUGCUCUGUUUGGCCCUGCUUUUGGACGCUUUGGAAACAAUAACGAAGAAGAGUUGUGAGGCUUGUGUGUAACUCGUAACGGUAGACAAGAAGAGGAUUUCCUAUUUUUCUUAGGUAUGCGUCAUCUCUCGUGAAUUUUCUCCCCAUGAGAAGCUUGGUCCCCUUUUGCAACAAUGAUGAAAAGAAAAGCACGGUCAAAACACCAUUUCAUAAGCACAAUCAAUAGUGAUGACACUGGUUAAAGGUGGAGAAAACUAGUCAAGGUUGGUUUCCCCCUGCAAGAACCAGUUGGGAAUACUGUCAAAGGCAAGGAGCUUGCGCAGCAUCACAUGCCGUCGGAAAAAAAAUGGUUUUGAGAAUUAUUAGAAACUAAACUAUUUUG